UACACGUGGCUAAUCUGCCCUUGGGACCGGAACACCCCCGGGAAACUGGGGCUAAUUCUCGAUAGGUGAAGAACUCUGGAAUGAGUCUUUGCCAAAAAGACGUUUACGUUAUGCUCGUAGACGUCGCCCAAGGAUGAGGCCGCGACCGAUCAGGUUGUUGGUGAGGUAAUGGCUCACCAAGCCUUUUACCGGUGCGGGCCGUGAGAGCGGGAGCCCGGAGAUGGGCACUGAGACAAGGGCCCAGGCCCUACGGGGCGCAGCAGUCGCGAAAACUUUGCAAUACACGAAAGUGUGACAGGGCUAUCCCGAGUGCCAUCCGCUGAGGAAGGCUUUUACCCAGUCUAGAACGCUGGGGGAAUAAGGAGAGGGCAAGUCUGGUGUCAGCCGCCGCGGUAAUACCAGCUCUCCGAGUGGUGUGGAUGUUUAUUGGGCCUAAAGCAUCCGUAGCUGGCUGAGUUAGUCCCUUGUUAAAUCCACCGAAUUAAUCGUUGGAUUGCGGGGGAUACUGCUCGGCUAGGGGACGAGAGAGGCAGACGGUAUUUCUGGGGUAGGGGUGAAAUCCUAUAAUCCCAGGAGGACCACCAGUGGCGAAGGCUGUCUGCUAGAACGCGCCCGACGGUGAGGGAUGAAAGCUGGGGGAGCGAACCGGAUUAGAUACCCGGGUAGUCCCAGCUGUAAACGAUGCAGACUAGGUGUUUGGACGGCCACGUGCCGUUCUAGUGCCGCAGGGAAGCUGUUAAGUCUGCCGCCU
rnacentral:rRNA from 1 species